GGCUUUAUAGUAGAAAAAAAGAUAUUAAAUUGCAAAUUUAAAGAUGUGUAUGGUACACUGAAGCUU
rnacentral:tRNA from 1 species